UACGGGGGGGGCAAGCGUUGUUCGGAAUUACUGGGCGUAAAGGGCUCGUAGGCGGCCAACUAAGUCCGACGUGAAAUCCCAAGGCUUAACCUUGGAACUGCGUCGGAUACUGGAUGGCUUGAAUUCGGGAGAGGGAUGCAGAAUUCCAGGUGUAGCGGUGAAAUGCGUAGAUAUCUGGAGGAACACCGGUGGCGAAGGCGGCAUCCUGGGCCGACACUGACACUGAGGAGCGAAAGCCAGGGGAGCAAACGGG
rnacentral:rRNA from 1 species